AUUGAACGCUGGCGGCAGGCCUAACACAUGCAAGUCGAGCGGAUGAAGCGAGCUUGCUCCUGGAUUCAGCGGCGGACGGGUGAGUAAUGCCUAGGAAUCUGCCUGGUAGUGCGGGAUAAAGUCUGGAAACGGGCGCUAAUAACGCGUACGUCCUGAGCGAGAAAGUGGGGGAUCUUCGGACCUUUCGCUCUCAGAUGAGCCUACGUCGGAUUAGCUAGUUGGUGGGGUAAAGGCCUACCACGGCGACGAUCCGUAACUGAUCUGAGAGGAUGAUCAGUCGCACGGGAACGUGAACACGCACCAUGCGCCUGCGGGAGGCAGCAGUGGGGAAUAGGAGGCAAUGGUCGGGAAUCUUAUCCAACGAGGCCGCGUGUGUGAAAGAGGUCUUCGGAUUGUGAAGCACGUUAUGGUGGUGUAAAGGGCAGUAAGUUAGGACCUUGCUGUUUUGACGUUACCAACAGAAGAAGCACCGGCUAACUACGUG
rnacentral:rRNA from 1 species